GUCGCUAUUCGGCUUGUCCCGGAAUAACACGAGUUGGUCACGAAUGUUCGGGCAGGGCCCGGCGAAUCAUAUUUGGAAAACGCAGGUGUAACUUAGAAAAACAUGCCACUGUCACAGUCAUUAAAACACUCGAGAUGGGGAACAUGAAUAGCAAGUGUUGGCUUGUCAAAGCAGUUGCAGUGUUGUCAAGACGUCCUAUGGUCGAUGUCAAACUGGCCGCUACCCAUUCAUAAAUAUUGAGUUGGACCAUAUUUCCAUGUUUGAGGGGAGAAAGAUUUCCUCAUCUUACUCACGAGUAGAUGCAUAUGGAUCACCAGAAUUACCUUGAUGCCAAGCAUAACUGCACCUCAAGAGCAUCUCAGACUAUAACAUAUCUUCAGAUUUCUUGGAAUAUUUUGUGGUCAAGCAUUACAUUGCCUAUGAAAGAACAACUCCUGUUGUGUAUACAGGUGUAAACAUAUUAAAGUUCUAUCUGAACAUUUUGCUGAAGUAUUGGCUCUGUAAAUGAUGUAUGUGACCAUCAGAAUACACCAUAUACACUGGACACUUGCUGGAACAGGACCUACUUGUCAUCAACAUGGUGUUGCAGAACAUCUUGGGACUCUCUCAUAAAGUCCAGUGUGAAUCUAGAUACUGACACCAGUAACAGUGCAUGCUGGCACAUUUAUUUGUUCAGGCUUGGCAUUUGGGAAUAUUUGCCAUGAAUGUUUAAUACUCAUGACCUUGGAAUAAAAUUACUGAAUAGA
rnacentral:lncRNA from 1 species